AUACGGAGGAUGCGAGCGUUAUCCGGAUUUAUUGGGUUUAAAGGGAGCGUAGGCGGGAGCUUAAGUCAGCGGUUAAAUGGUGCGGCUCAACCGUGCCCUGCCGUUGAAACUGGGUUUCUUGAGAGUGCAAGAGGCGGAUGGAAUUCAUGGUGUAGCGGUGAAAUGCUUAGAUAUCAUGAAGAACUCCGAUUGCGAAGGCAGUCCGCUGGGGCACGUCUGACGCUGAUGCGCGAAGGUGCGGGAAUCAAACAGGAUUAGAUACCCUGGUAGUCCGCACGGUAAACGAUGAUUACCCGCUGUCGGCGGUAGACAGUCGGCGGCCAAGCGAAAGCGAUAAGUAAUCCACCUGGGGAGUACGCCGGCAACGGUGAAACUCAAAGGAAUUGACGGGG
rnacentral:rRNA from 1 species